CAGCAGCCGCGGUAAUACCAGCCCCGCGAGUGGUCGGGACUUUUAUUGGGCCUAAAGCGUCCGUAGCCGGCCCGGCAAGUCCCCCCUUAAAGCCCACGGCUCAACCGUGGGAGCGGGGGGAUACUGCCGGGCUAGGGGGCGGGAGAGGCCGGGGGUACUCCCGGGGUAGGGGCGAAAUCCGUUAAUCCCGGGAGGACCGCCAGUGGCGAAGGCGCCCGGCUGGAACGCGCCCGACGGUGAGGGACGAAAGCUGGGGGAGCAAAGGGGAUUAGAUACCCCCGUAGUCCCAGCUGUAAACGAUGCGGGCUAGGUGUUGGGCGGGCUUCGAGCCCGCCCAGUGCCGUAGGGAAGCCGUUAAGCCCGCCGCCUGGGGAGUACGGCCGCAAGGCUGAAACUUAAAGGAAUUGGCGGG
rnacentral:rRNA from 1 species